UAGUGGUAUUAACUCAAAAAAGAAAAAAGACCUCCCCGUCAUUUCCCCCUCCGACUUCGGCAUGGACAGCACCGCCCCGAACUUUUCUUCCGCCGCCGCCGUCGCCGCCGCCGCCGCGGCCGCUUCCGGCAACGGCCUACAAGGGGGAGCGGGAGGGGACCGUCCCGAGGACCCGUCGAAGCAGAACCUGGCGCAGGUCACGGGCUCGAUCCAGAAGACCCUGGGUCUGCUCCACCAGCUCAACCUCAACGUCUCCUCCUUCAGCUCCGCGUCCCAGCUCCCCCUCCUCCAGCGCCUGGUUUGGUGUGUUGUACGGUGCAGGAACGCGCUCGUGGCGGAGCUCGACACGAUGCAGAAGCUCGCCGACGGGUGCAACAUCCAGGUGCCCAUGGAGGUCGUCAAUUUGAUUGAUGACGGGAAGAACCCCGAUGAGUUCACCAGGGACGUGUUCAACAGCUGCAUUGCCAAGAACCAGAUCACGAAGGGCAAGACGGAUGCUUUCAAGAGCCUGAGGAAGCAUCUUCUUGAGGAGCUGGAAGAAGCUUUUCCAGAUGACGUUGAAGCGUACAGACAGAUACGUGCUACCUCUGCUGCUGAGUCAAAGAGGUUGGCUCAGUCCCAAAGUGCUUUGCCUAAUGGAGAUGCCAAAGUGAAACCUGAGCAUUGAGAGAAUAACCCAAGUGCAAAGAGCAAGAUCUUGCUUUAUAUUUCCUAUAGUUUUUCUUAGGAAGGCUUUGUGAACCAACAACUGAUAUAACCUUUACCACCAUCAAUAAUUUUCGAAGUGCCUGAUGAAGUUCACUCAUCUGAUAAAACUGGACGUGUCGGUAAGUAUUCUCAGGAACUCGAGAGCCAGAAAUGGGAUUCUUCAUUUAGUGAGUCUUCUAGAGGUGGUGGCCCCUCUUUUGCAAAAGGCUCGAGCUAAAUGUAACUGCCCCUCUUCCUCAGAUGCAUGUCUCAUGUUUAUCUUCUUGGGAGAAAUGAUGUCUGCUUACUGCUCGUUGCAUUUGGUUCGCCGUAGUUUGCAGUGCACUGUAACUGCUUAUACUAGAUUUGACUACAUGGAACUGUAAUUUGGAAUGUUAAAUUUAAUUUAAAUAGAAGGAUAACUUAGUUUCACUCUCCAAUAAUGCUUGUGUUGUUAUCUAUCUUUUUGCAGCCCUUAAUUUUUCAGAUGCUUUGACAUGUGUCGAUAGGGUUUUAUAAUGAUCCUGAAGCUUGCUGACAUUUUCGGCUGCCCACCGUCAUCUCGAGCAGUUCGAGGUGUCAGGGUUUAUCGUUCUAUAAGAAGUCAGCUUGAGGUGGUAUUGUGCAUCCUUAACAAUUCAGUGGCUCUGAGGCGGAUGUUCAUAGGACCAAGGGUGAGACACUUGAUCGUGUCUUUGGACACUGGGCGGAGUUUGUAUCUUGAUAUAAGAAGAGGCAGGGAAUGAGCCUUGGACCUUUUUUUGCCCCAGGACUACCCCGGUGUGCAUAUUGAGAUCUUCUGAGGGACCUUGGGGGUUUGUUUGGCUUAAGGUGAUGUAUGCCUGAAGGGCUACUAUGGAGGUGGCGCCUGUCAAUAGGCAAGUGCGAGUUCCGGUACAACAUUUGUUGCUUCUUUGUUUAAGAGGAAAACAGAAGGAAAAAACUUCAUAUUUAUUUACUUAUCAUAUGUUGACAAAGAAGCUAAUAAGGAAAUAGGCAAGGUAGCAUUUGUUGUAUCAAGCAAAAUUUUCAGUCCUGAUUCCUACAUAAUAAAAUGAAGCAACAACAUCGGAGCAAAAUGAAGCAACAAUGUCAGAGCUUACUUCUGAUCUCCUUUAGAGUACAUGACCCCUUGACGACAACUUGCUUGCAAAGUCGUCUCAUCCAGAUAGUGAAUGGAUGUAUAAUCAUGUGUGAUACGUCUUCUUACAGGCUUCCCUGAAAUUUGAAGCUUUUUAGCUCCACGAAGACACCUUCAUGCACAUGAUUUUUUCCCGACG